rnacentral:rRNA from 1 species
GUGGGGGAUCUUGCGCAAUGGGCGAAAGCCUGACGCAGCGACACCGCGUGAGGGACGAAGGCCCUCGGGUUGUAAACCUCUUUCGGCAGGGACGAAGCGAACGUGACGGUACCUGCAGAAGAAGCUCCGGCUAACUACGUGCCAGCAGCCGCGGUAAGACGUAGGGAGCGAGCGUUGUCCGGAUUCAUUGGGCGUAAAGAGCGCGCAGGCGGUUCGGUAAGUCGGUCGUGAAAUUCCGGGGCUCAACCCCGGGACUGCGUCCGAUACUGCCGGACUAGAGGUAGGUAGGGGAGAUCGGAAUUCCUGGUGUAGCGGUGGAAUGCGCAGAUAUCAGGAGGAACACCGGUGGCGAAGGCGGAUCUCUGGGCCUUACCUGACGCUCAGGCGCGAAAGCUAGGGGAGCGAACAGGAUUAGAAACCCCUGUAGUCC